rnacentral:rRNA from 1 species
AUGGAGAGCAUCCCGGCGGCCUCCGCCAUGGACUGGAGCAUCGACCUCGACAAGGGACUCCGCUCCCGCCACCUCGGCACGCGCCUCAAGGCCCUCGAGGCCGCCGCCCCGCGCAUCCGCGACCUCGCCGCGAGCCCCGCCGUCCCCGCGGCGGUGGCCUCCGCGUUCGGCGUCCUGCCCGCCGAGCCCCGCAUCUUCGCUGAGACCAUGCUCCUCCGCCUCGCCACCGAGUUCAGGGCGGCCGCCGACGACUCCGUCCGGGCCCGCAUCGUCCGCGCCCUCCUCCCGGCCCAGGGCGCCGCGUGGGCCUGCGCGGAGCCCGACCAGAUACUCCGGAAGGUCGCGGCGGCGCACGGCGCGGCGGGGACCCCGCGGGCCAGGGAGCUCGCGCUGAGGAUGUUCGGCUGCCUCGCCGGCCUCGCCAAGGACAGCGUGCACGUCCGCUCCCUCGUCCUCUCCGGACUCCGCUCCUCCAAUGCUGCCGAGGUCAAAGCGGCGUUAUUUGCGGCCGGUUGCUUUUGUAAGCUUUCAGAGGACUUCUCAUACAUCACCCUUCAAGUGGUGGCUGGAUUAGUCAUCUCACCAACAUCAGAAGCCCAAGUUAUUAUGGCAGCAAUUAAGACUUUCUCGAAGCUUGAUUGUACGUUGGCUGUUAUCCGUAGAGUUCACGAGGUUGGAAAGCAGAUGGUUCUAGGCAACCUGGAAGAUGUAUUCAAAGCUGAAAUUCUCUUCGCACUCUCCAGACUGGCAUCCAAGUCAAUUGUUUUGUUUGGUGAUCAGGUGGCACUUCUGUUAUCAUUUCUGGGACAUGAAUCUUCUCUUCCUAUGAGGACUAUGGUUUUGAAAAGUUUAUGUUUUAUGUUUCGCAGAAAUACUUUCUAUCUUCCUGGUGCCAGUACUGUUCUUGGCACAUUAUUACAACUAAUUGAUGAUGAGGAUUUCCCACUUGAUUGUAAGUGCUAUGCAUUCAGAAUUCUGCAAAAGAUUCUCUGUGUUAAAGAUCCAAGCACCCUUCAUAUCAAUGCUUCUGAGUUAUCUAAGCUUGCUCUGGCUGCUAAAAGAUUUUUGCAUUGUUCUUCCUGGGAGAUGCAAUAUAAUGCUCUUGAAAUUCUUUUGGAUAUCUUCUUUUGCUUUCUCAAGCAAACAAAGCCACAUCAGACUAUAAGCACUCUGGAGAGUUCAUCAUUCUCAUACACUGGAUGCCCAGGAAUUUCGGACAACAUGCUGUCAACCCAUGAAGAAACUAGUGAGGAUGAAAGAUCUCUGAAUAUGAUUUUAACAGCAAUAGUGGAUAAUAUAAUAUCUCUGGCCAACCAACUAGCGAACUGCAGAAGCAAGCAAGUACCAACUGGACAUAUAUAUGUGUCCUCCUGUGAUUUAGAAAAAUACAGGGCACUAUUUGGCCUUAUGCUAAAGCUUGUUUCAGGCUACCCUUCUGCUGCUUCUGCUGCUUUUGAUAAAGUAAGAUGCCUGAUGAAAGAACUUGCUCAAAUAAAUGCCAGUCAUUACUCCAGAGUAGCAGCUAGUUGUGUUGAAUCAUCUGUUGAACCAGCGGCUGGAACUAUCAAAGCUUCUUGCAUGGAAACUGACACUGAUAAGGCAAACUUAGCUUCCACUGAAUCUUGUAGCAAGAAGCAAUCAUCUGUAGUGCAUGAUCUAAUUCUGUGCACGCUCAAAUUUGCAAAUGUCUGCCAUGAUAUGUGUCAUAAAACAUCUGCCUCUUCCUGCAAUCUUCACCAUAGUGUCAAGAGUCUAACUGAAUGCGUACAGCAGAACGCCUCUCAGUAUUGCAGCACAUAUGAAUUCUUCCGUCUUAUAAUGUGUGCUCGUAUCUCAUGGAGUACUUGUAAAAUCAGAGAUGGUAAUAAAGGGUCAGGUGAUUCAAAAGAGCACCCUAACAUAUUCUUUACUCCUGUUUGGAUAGCACAUGAAUCUUGUGCCCUUCGGAUGGCGAAAAUGCUUACAAGGAAACAGAGCUACUGGGAAGCCUAUAGGUCUGCUAUGUACUGCUGCCACGAAGGUCUCUGGUUCACAGCGUCAUUUGUCUUUAGAAAAGUUUCGGCUGCUUUUGAGUCGAGCGCCUUUGGGUUUUGGUUCAAAUCAUUGCUUCUUUUUGGUGCCGGAGAACUGGAGAUGAAGCUAUUGCUUUUCCCUUCAGCAAUCAAUAAGUUGGUUGGUGAGCUAAAUACAGAGAAAGAUCUUCAUGAGGACCUCUAUAGUGUCGAAACAGAUGUUGACCAUACUCUUGCUAGAUCUCCAGAGUUGCAUGGCUACCAAGAAAAAGUCACUGGUAUUUGUGAGAGAACAUGCUUAGCAAAUGAUGUCCUCACAUCUAAUGCCUGUUCAGACCGCGAAUUCUUCUUCCAGAGGUGGUUCAUUAGUCUGAGAGCGUCUUUUCUUAAGAUCUUAACUGAUGUUCUUGACAUCCUUAAUGCACAUUCUUCUGCUCCCAAAGACAUAUCACAUCAUGAAUCUUCAAGUGUAGCCAUAGAGAACAACCAAGUCCUCCUAGCUUUGACUAAUUGUUCUUUAAGACUGAGUGACCUAGCAAAGAGUUAUGAUCUGCUUGCUGCAUCCCAUGGGGACAUGGAUCAUGAAAGCUUUACUACUAUAGCCAGGCUUGCUUUCAUGUGCUCACUUUUGUCAUUUUGCACUGCGUUUUCUGUAGAUUUCUCAAAUGUACCUGGCAGUUCAGAGCCUUGCAGGCUUCCAGAGAGUUUUUCUCAUGAAUCAAUCCUACAAGAUUUGCAUCAAAGAGUAGAUAGGAAUGAUAGCCAAGUUGUCUCGCAACUGCGGCAAUUCAUGUCUGUUUCUUCUUUUGAACUGGACUCUGUACACUUCAGCACAAGAAUGAAUAUGUCUGGUAAUCUGGAAAAGGAUUCCUAUUCACUCUUCAAGUUUGCUGUGGCAUCUUUGCUUCGUGCACGCGCAGAUGCCAAAGGAGUGACAACUGGAGAGGACGCUCUACAUCAUUUGCACAGAGGGAUGCAACUUCUGUCUAGCAUUUUGCGGAGGUUCAUGGAACUGCCUUUCGUACUUCCCAGGCACUUCUUCAGCGUAAGGCCUUGCCUUGGCACCGAGCUCUUCAUGUUCGAUUCCAACCCUGCAAACAAGGACAGGAUAUCAGUACCGCGCGGCUUCCAGCUGUCCCUGACUCUCUGCUUGAAGUGGAAGCGUGUGCUGGAGCGAACCCCCAUCCGCAUCGCGAAACUGUACUGCAUCCUAGCCACAAGCCCAUCGUCGCCCCUACACAUCGCGGGAACGAGGAGCAAGCAGUUCGAGAUGCGCAGGACCACCUCCGAGAUGGUCCUGCUGCACUCCAAGCUGCUGCAGCACGCAAAGAGCGACCUGAGGAAGACCAGCCACAAGGAGAAUUCCCACACCGAGCUGGUGGCAGCGUUCGCGUGUUUCAAACCAGCUGGCUCUGGCCAGGGGUUCUCAGACUGCCUGCUGGACGUCUCCUCGUUUCCUCGCGGCGAGUACCAGAUCGCGUGGCAGGCGUGCUGCGUGGACGAGAACAGCCGCUGCUUCAGCUUGCUGCCGUUGAAUGACGGCGCCGUCUUCUCCGUCCAGUAG